rnacentral:lncRNA from 1 species
GUCCGCAUACACAUUCACGCCCGGGGGCGCGGCCGCCACGUGGGGAGUGGCGCGGGGGUGGUACUGGGACCGCACCCCCCUCUCGUCCUGGCUGCGUGGGCCCCGCUUUCCCCCUGCGCUGAAGACUCUGAGCCCGGCCGGUCCCACCUUCCACGCGAGCUGAAUUCCCUCCCGCAUUCCACCGGGGCGGUGGGAACUGCGGGCUCCGGGAGGCGCUCGGGCUCCGAGCAGCGACUCAGCCCCUCACUCUUCCCUCCGCAGUGCCGCGGCCGCCCAGCCAGGAUUCCCGCGGGUCUCAGCGGCCGCGAGCGCGAGGCGGCGCGGAUUCCCGGCGCGGUACCGGCGCUGCUGCUCACCUCUCUCGCGUCGCCUCCCGCGGCUUCCACCUUGCACCUGGCGUUCCUCUGCGCGCCUGCUGGGCCCAUCUCUGGUUUCCCUUUUCUGCUUCUAGACCCCGCGUCACAACUGCGCAGACCUCUGCGGUCAGGAAAGCGCGUCGGGCGCGGGCAGAGUUGGAUCCGCUCGGGCUUCACGCUUUCACGCUUCGCGCGGGCAUCUCUUCCUCCUCCCGGGCACCGAGGCCAGAGCAGUGUUUCGAGCUAGAGGAUACUAAAGGAGGAAGAGGAGAAGAGGAGGAAGAUGAAGAGACCCUGGCUGGUCCUGAGGGAGUGGACACCCUGCCUGGUUGGUUGGGCCCAACUGGGAAGUUCUCUACCAUCUGGUGGAGUUUAGGUCACUUAUGUGGCUGCACUCAUCUGGGAGCUACCUGCAGCUGAAACACUCGAGAUGGCCGCUCGUCCUCCAGAGCUUCUACCCACCUGGGCUCUAACCAUUCAGUCAUCUGGCUUUGGCUUCCUCAUGCUAUGGCAGUUGGGCUCCAAGAAGAGAGAAGUGGAACUGGCCAUUCCCUUUAAGGCUUGGACUUCACUUCUGUCACACACUGUUGGUCAAAGCAAGUCACAGGCCUAAUGAUUCAAGGGGAGGGGAACUAGGCUGCACCUGUUUCUAGGGACAAAAGGAAGAGGUUGAUGACCAUUGGACACUAUCUAUCUCCCACAGCAUGUGGCAGUAAUUAUACAGGGAGCUCCUGGAGGGCAAGGAUCCAGCUAUAUAUCCACUCUUCCCAAGCCCACACGGUCAGAGAUUUCAGGAUACAGUGUGAACUCCAGCUUCAAUAUUCCUCAUACUGGAAUGUUGGUCUGGGAGAGGGUCGAGAGGUGGUGGAGUCAAGCCCAGGCUGUCGGCUGCCUCUGUUGGGACUCUUUAAUUUCAAGAUAGUGCAUCUAAAUGCUGUCUGGAAGUCUUUUUCUGGGCAUAGGUUAUGCCCCCUGCGGCAUGAUGGGCACAUUUCAUUCAGCCACAUGGUUACACAGAGCCCUGGAU